AUUGAACGCUGGCGGCAGGCCUAACACAUGCAAGUCGAGCGGAUGAAGAGAGCUUGCUCUCUGAUUUAGCGGCGGACGGGUGAGUAAUGCCUAGGAAUCUGCCUGGUAGUGGGGGAUAACGUCCGGAAACGGGCGCUAAUACCGCAUACGUCCUACGGGAGAAAGCGGGGGACCUUCGGGCCUUGCGCUAUCAGAUGAGCCUAGGUCGGGUUAGCUAGUUGGUGAGGUAAUGGCUCACCAAGGCUACGAUCCGUAACUGGUCUGAGAGGAUGAUCAGUCACACUGGAACUGAGACACGGUCCAGACUCCUACGGGAGGCAGCAGUGGGGAAUAUUGGACAAUGGGCGAAAGCCUGAUCCAGCCAUGCCGCGUGUGUGAAGAAGGUCUUCGGAUUGUAAAGCACUUUAAGUUGGGAGGAAGGGCAGUAAGUUAAUACCUUGCUGUUUUGACGUUACCGACAGAAUAAGCACCGGCUAACUUCGUGCCAGCCGCCGCAGUAACAC
rnacentral:rRNA from 1 species